GGUACUACUCCCCCCCAAAAGUGGUGUUAUUAGCCAUCAAAUCUCAAAAAUACACUUUCCCCAAAAGGUUUCCACAAUUUUGGUCACUACUGUAGGUUGUAAGAAUCAGGUCGACCAGUAGGUGACAGCAAAAAUACAAGGAAAAAACUCUCUCACUCUUUGCUGCUCCGAUUAGGCAUUCAAGAUUCUGAGCUUAAGCCGGCCUUAACUGACCAUUUACACCCCAAAAAUGACCCUAUGCCACUUACUCUCUGUUAAGACUUCUUGGAAGCAAGAUAUUUAUUUAUGAACAAAAUUAACCUGUAGGUUUGCUUCCCGUGAUCGCUUAUCAUCCCAUCUAUCUCUCUGUUUGCCCAGUAUUAAACAUUAGAUUAGGGAAAGCACCAUCCCUACUGAAAGUGCUACAUAAAUGGUUGGAAAUAUCCAUCAACUCGUUUGUCCCCACGCCCACUCUUCAUUAUCAGACGUGCCCUCUCUAAACAUCCCUGAUCUGAUCCUCCGGUAUAGAUUACUGCUGCGAUUACGUCACUUGGUCCGGUUAUACGGCGCUUUUAGCGCGACGCCGGCGCUCAAAGACAAGCUGGAAGAGCCCUGGAAGUCGAGCCACCCAGUCGGAGGAUCUUGGAACCGGCUGGCACGACUCGCAGUUAAGCAGAUGGGAGUUGAAGCGCACGAAAUCAGUGAAAGGCAGCCGAGAAAGGACGAGCCACACAGUCGCGAAAGGGAAACGCACCAAGGGCAGGUUGGAACAAUCAUCCGACAGGAGAGAGAAGGGAGGCCGGCGUUUCCGCAAGAAACCUCUUCGGGGCCUUCCUCGUCUUAAGCUGUCGGAGCGCGCACCCGUCGCCCUGAUGAAAUCACAGGAACAGGCACAGGAACGACUUUUGCGGAAAGGGCAACCGAGGGCACAGCUCGCUUGACGCCAGCCAUCCCGCCCCUUCCGCCGCUCCAGCCUCCCCUCCCUUUUCAAUGGCUGAUCGGGGAUAAGCUUGUUAGAUUAGCCUUGCGCGUCCCCGGCUCCUUCUGCGGCAGCCAACGAGCCGAGUUCACGCGAGGACAGCGGCAGCUCCCAGCCGAAGCGCGUCUGGCUGGCAAGAGCUCUGGAAUAGCGCUGCUGCUGCCGCCGCUGCCGCCGCUGCCGCCGCCGGGUGCUGGAGGCGGAGCCGCCCUCGCCGCUGACUCGUGACGGGCUCCUGAGGCCUCGUAUUAAUCGGCCGGGCACAAGGCAAGCGCGAACGGCCGGGCUGCCGCAGAGCUGGGAUGCCGCAUCUCUCUCCGGUCAGAUGGCUUAAUCUCCCCAGUUCCCUAAUGAGAAUUGAACGUACUCAAGAGACGGCGUAGUUUCUUCCGUUUCAAAGAGCCCGACUUUAAAGAGCUUGCGUUGCAAUGGCGUGAUGCUAGUUUUGUCAUUUGCCUCCUGCCCUGCAGAGAAGAAGAAAUGCAGGCAGCAAGCAACGAGAUAAAUUUUAGGUCAAAACCAGGGAGAUCCUGGCUUACGCCAACUAUAGCAAUGGAAGUUCCCUGAAUGUAUUUGGCAAUUGCUGUCUUUCACCCUCCUUUCUAACCAUGCAAAUCUUCUCCAAAGUCGGGGGUCGUCUUAUACGCCGGAAAAUACGGUAAAUAAAUAAAUAAAUAAAUAAAUAAAUUAGA